ACGGCCAUAUUGCGUUGAAAAACCGGUUCUCAUAAAAUCACCGUAGUUAAGCAAUGUUGAGCCUGGUCAGUACCGAGAUGGGUGACCGCUUGUGAAUACCAUUCGCUGUAA